rnacentral:sRNA from 1 species
UUUUUCUCCUCUUUCCCAUCUUCCCAUAGAUGCAAGCCUCCCCUAUCCAGCCCCAUUCUAGAACUGCAUUCAGAGGACACACUUCAGAUGGAUGGACACAUACUGGAUUCAAAGAGAUAUGCCGUUAUUGGAGCAGAUCUCCGAGACCUGUCUGAACUGGAAGAGAAGCUAAAGAAAUGUAACAUGAAUACACAGU